CCUACGGGAGGCAGCAGUGGGGAAUAUUGCGCAAUGGGCGAAAGCCUGACGCAGCGACGCCGCGUGAGGGAUGAAGGUCUUCGGAUCGUAAAGCUCUAUCAGCAGGGAAGAAAAUGACGGUACCUGAGUAAGAAGCCCCGGCUAACUACGUGCCAGCAGCCGCGGUAAUACGUAGGGGGCAAGCGUUAUCCGGAUUUACUGGGUGUAAAGGGAGCGUAGACGGCAGUGCAAGUCUGGAGUGAAAGGCGGGGGCUCAACCCCCGGACUGCUCUGGAAACUGUACGGCUGGAGUGCAGGAGAGGUAAGUGGAAUUCCUAGUGUAGCGGUGAAAUGCGUAGAUAUUAGGAGGAACACCAGUGGCGAAGGCGGCUUACUGGACUGUAACUGACGUUGAGGCUCGAAAGCGUGGGGAGCAAACAGGAUUAGAUACCCUAGUAGUC
rnacentral:rRNA from 1 species